rnacentral:lncRNA from 1 species
UUUUUUUUUUUGUCACUUGAAAUUUUAUUGAUAAACUUGUUGUCGAACCGAAGUAGAAUACAACGUCCAAAAGAGGGAAGCAAAGCCGGCGGACAACGGUAAGUCCCCGGAGACAAAGCCAGAGGAAAACGAGAAUUCCCCAGAAACUAGGCCCUAUGUAAGGGAAACUAAAGACACUAUGACACAAAGAGCAUAAAAACUCAAGCCAAAACGAAAGUUGACGAACCCUUAAACUAAACACAGAAGCAACAAGGCAAUAACCAACCAAAAGACACUAGUACUUAAGAGGCAAAAAGACCUCUUCUUCCGUUGCACCUACGAAUGAGAUUUACCACGGCUGCCCACGGCCAACCCGAAGAUAACAUCAACAACCUCGUAUCAAGAUGAGAACUGAUCUCUCGGAACCACAACCAAGACUUCAUAACCCGGCAAGCAAGAUCACUUGAGAAACUCAAAAACGCUUCCGGAUGCGACGACGACGACCAAAGCGUCCAUUAACCAUUAACGUCUAGGUAGAAGACUUCAAACGCGAUCAGAUCCAAACCAAUCUGAAACGCAGGGACAAGGAGCGAAGCUAAACCUCUCGCGCAUCACCGAACUCAAACGAGUACGACGUGAUUUCUUAACUAAAUAAAAAUAAAUUCUAAAAAUAAUUGCUUGGAAACAAGUGUAUAUAAAAAUACCUAAAUUUUGAGGGUUCCAAAAUGUUAUUUAUUAUUUACGCGUGAUUUUUUUUCUUUUAGAAAGCAUGAUUUAUCAAUUAGUUAAAUUUUCCUUUAUUUGCUAAUUUGAUCUGAAUUUGAAUCUAAUACUUCAAUUUAUUAGAUGUUUAAUAUUGAUAAUAAGGUAAUCCCAAACUAUAGACCAUAAGAGCAUCCACAUUCGUAACAUUCAUUAAGAAUCUAUAUAUACAUUUUUGGAUCAUAAUUAGCAAAUAAAUCCUGAAGUUGAGAAGUAUUUACAAUGACAUGCCAUUAGCAUUAAUUAUUUAGAUUUGUUUUAUUUAAAUAAAGAUUUUGAAUUGAAAUUCAUUUCUCAUAUAUUUAGCAAAAGUCUCUAUAAAAUCUUUCCUUAUCUAUUUAUGUAAAGAUUUUGAAAUCAAAUAUGUUCUCAACAAUUUACCAAAAAUCUCUACACAAUCUUUUUAAAAAUCUCGACUUAGUUAACUUCUGAUUUUUAUCUGCAAAAAAAAAAUUAAUUGUAACGAGUGAUGUAAAAAUCGGGAAUGUUGAUACUACAAUUUCUUUUACUUCUUUUUUCAUAUAAUGAAAAUUAUUUUUAGGGAUAUUUUCUUAAAACCUCUAAACAAAACAAAUGGUUUCAAAAGAUAGCUUCUCUUUUGGCGGGUCGACCCGCAAACCCGCAACUCUCUACGGGCUUAUCCGCAUGAACCUGCGACCCGUAGUGGAUAAAAAUAUUAUUCAAAAAAAUAACAAAUGAUGUUUAAUUUUACGGGACUGGGUUAUAUGGUGCAACUGGAUUAGAUCAAUAUUUUAAUAUUAAACAAUAUACUAUCGAUGAAAUCCAAGAAUUAAAAAUCAAAAUUUAAUUAUAAAAUCAGAAACACUAAACAAAAUAAACAAUAUUAACAAAACAAAUACAACUUAAAAUUUUGCAAAAUAAUUUUUUAGUUAUAAAAAAAUCGACCUGCGGUGUACCGCAAGAAAAAUCUUUCUCCUAAACUGAAGCAAGAAGAAGAAGAAAGCCAAAUGUCGUUUAAGUGUAUAUAUAGAUAUACCAUUUAAACCUAAAACACAAUUAAUAUACUCAAAACUAUUAAUAUAGAUAUAUGGAUGGUACAUUUAUAAAAUAGGUCAAAAUAUUAUAUUAUACUCUCUAUUAAUAAACAAAACUAAUUAUAUUUAGAUUUUUUAAAAAAAAAUUAUAGCCCCACGGUGUACCGCGGGUUCAAAUCUAGUAUCUUAAGUAUAAAUUAUUAUAAAAUUAUUAACAUCUUGCCACGUACGGUGUCUAAAACCAGCAAAAAUGUCUCCCCACAGACACAAUAUGACACCGUAUAAAUUGUCAUUUUUCUUUUUUUAUUAUUCUUCUAAAUUUUGAAAACACCCAAAAAAUUGUCCGAUGGAGGUGUUCUAAUAACCCAAUUAAAUAUUAUGAUCAAAAGUAUUGCUCUAAAGGGCGUCUUUAGAUCUUAAAGUUUAUACAAGAUGGGUUGUAAAUUAAUAUGAUACUUUUUAAUAGCAAGAAUUAGCAAAAAAAACAAAGGCAUGUGGGGUUUUAUCCAAAUGUUUGAACUUUGAAGUAAUAAUAGCCUAUAAAGUUAUGUUCCCUCAAAAGACACACAACCCAACGAAAAAAUGACUGAAACAGGGAAAAUACUUAACAUUUAAAUAAUCAAAUUCACUCUCUUUUGGCGAAUGUAUGUGUACGUCAAAUAAUUCAAUCAAUGGAUACUAAUCAAAAAAAGGCUCGCGUGGACAAAUUAUUCAUCACUUUAGUUUGAUAUUAUUGAUCAAGUUCCAAUUUUCAAACGAACUGGCAAUAUAAGAUAUUUUUUUAUAGUGCAAAUGUAAACACCAAACGCAUCAUUCUAUUUUUGUUUGAUAUUUACCUUUGCAAUUAACAAAACAAAAUGCUUAAAAUGUUUAAGAUAGAGAUGUCAUUUAGAAGAAAAAUAUCCAGUAAAUGAGCAAUCAAGAUG